rnacentral:rRNA from 1 species
GGGGUGCUCGAGUGGCGAACGGGUGAGUAACACGUGAGUAACCUGCCCUUGACUUUGGGAUAACUUCAGGAAACUGGGGCUAAUACCGGAUAGGAGCUCCUGCUGCAUGGUGGGGGUUGGAAAGUUUCGGCGGUUGGGGAUGGACUCGCGGCUUAUCAGCUUGUUGGUGGGGUAGUGGCUUACCAAGGCUUUGACGGGUAGCCGGCCUGAGAGGGUGACCGGACACAUUGGGACUGAGAUACGGCCCAG